rnacentral:rRNA from 1 species
AUUGAACGCUGGCGGCAGGCCUAACACAUGCAAGUCGAACGAGUGGCGGACGGGUGAGUAAUGUCUGGGAAACUGCCUGAUGGAGGGGGAUAACGACGGGAAACUGUCGCUAAUACCGCGUACCAUAGGAUGAGCCAAAGUGGGAUUAGGUAGUUGGUGGGGGAAUGGCCUACCAAGCCGACGAUCUCUAGCUGGUCUGAGAGGAUGACCAGCCACACCGGGACUGAGACACGGCCCGGACUCCUACGGGAGGCAGCAGUGAGGAAUAUUGGUCAAUGGGCGAGAGCCUGAACCAGCCAAGUAGCGUGCAGGAUGACGGCCUAUGGGUUGUAAUCUGCUUUUUAUGGGGAUAAGGUACCAUACGAAUAAGGACCGGCUAAUUCCGUGCCAGCAGCCGCGGUAAUUC